ACCACACCCUUAGCCCAUUAGCCCAUUAUUUGGCACUUCCCCCACCUUAUCCAUCUCCCUUUCAAAGACAGCAUAUGCCCUUCCAUGGAUGAUGGAUCCCAGUCAUUUCUCCUCCACCCAGAAACUCAUAAACACAAGCACAACCUACCAUUACCAUAGCUACCUAGUAUAGCUCAUUAAAAGGAGCCUUUAGAUACUAACGCCACUGAUGGCUUCUGCAACUACAAGACCAACUUUCUCCUUCCACCUUUCCCAAGUCCCUCCUCCAAAACCCACUGCCCAUUUCUGCAAACUAUCGUUCAUCUCUCUCCAUAAACCUCUAAAGACCCAUUUUAUUAUUCGCUCAGUUGAUGUCUCUAAAGAAGACAAACCACCUGCUACAAACCAACCAAGUAAUCCACCAAUACCAUCAGCAGCAGAAUUACCUUCUGCUGCAGAAUCACCUUCUGCUGCAGAAUCACCCCCUCAAGAUUUGGAACCGAAAUUUGACCAGCGGAGGUUAGAAGAGAAGUUUGCAGUGUUGAAUACUGGGAUCUAUGAGUGCAGGUCUUGUGGUUACAAAUAUGAUGAGGCUGUUGGCGACCCCUCAUACCCAAUUCCACCAGGAUUGCCGUUUGACAAGUUGCCUGAGGACUGGAGGUGUUGUACUUGUGGGGCUGCAAAGAGUUUCUUCGAGAGUAAGAGUGUGGAGAUCGCUGGUUUUGCACAAAACCAGCAAUAUGGGCUUGGAGGCAACUCGCUUACUUCUGGGCAAAAGGCUAUUUUGAUAUAUGGUAGCUUAUUGUUGUUUUUUGUUUUGUUCUUGUCAGGGUACUUUCUGCAAUAAUGUAUGGCAAUGGAGAAGAUAUUUUGGUUUUAUGUAUCGUGUGUAGUUUAUUGAUACUUGCAAAUAGAUUAAUAUUUUUAGAAGUGCAUUAGUGUGGGUUAUAGAAUACUAUUUUGUUAAUAAAUCUCUUCAAUAUUGGUAAUGGCUUGUAAACCAUGUGACAGAGCAAGUUGGACGAAUACUUCAGCGAAUUCAGCUAAUCAGCCAAUUAUUCCCCCCUACCCUUGGUGUAGAGUUCUUCUCCUUUGACAAUUGAAACUUCAUCAUUCUUUUGCAAUUUGCAUUAAGUACUCAGCG
rnacentral:misc_RNA from 1 species